GGAGUAACGCGUAAAGAACUUGCCCUUUAGACUGGGAUAACAGAGGGAAACUUCUGAUAAUACUGGAUAAGUUAGUAUAUCGCAUGAUAUGCAAAUGAAAGCUACGGCACUAAAGGAGAGCUUUGCGUCCUAUUAGCUAGUUGGUAAGGUAAGAGCUUACCAAGGCGAUGAUAGGUAGCCGGCCUGAGAGGGUGGACGGCCACAAGGGGGACUGAGAUACGGCCCUUACUCCUACGGGAGGCAGCAGUC
rnacentral:rRNA from 1 species